rnacentral:lncRNA from 1 species
AACCGUCAAUGACCAGAUAUAGCUAUGAGAUCUGAAGGCUUGCCCAGAGACAUUUGUUCCUUUUAAGAUAUGGUUAUUGAAUCUUAAAUCAUUUUUGUUCCUCAGUUAUUCUAUGGUUGUAUUUUCUUGGUUUCCACAUUUUUUACACUCCUCCUUUAUUAUGUCCUUUAUUUACCAUUGCAUCAAAGUUGCGACUGCGUUUUGUUGUAGUAGUGAUGCUGUGUUAACGAUCAGAUCUACUCUUUUGUCUAUUCUGUGUCUCCAUGAUAUAACUGUAGAUGCCCACUCGUUUUUGUUUUUUUUAAACUGUGUUUUCUAGUGUAGCUAUUUUGCUGCCUCAGGACGAUGGUUCAAUUUUUAUUAGCCUAAUGAUGGAAAACUCAUUUUUGGAGCGGUUCUGUGGAUUAUUGUUAGGAGCCUUUUCUAUCAUUUUUGCUUACUAGCCAUUAUCAUCAUCAUAAACACCAUCCUCUAUCUAUCCAUCUCUCUCUCUCUCUCUCUCUCUCUCUCUCUCUCUCUCUCUCGCGCGGGCGUGUAGAGAUGAAGAUAAAAAGAGGCUCAUAGUGAUAAUCCAGUGGUUAAAUGUCAAUGAAUAUAUAUAGCUAUGAGAUCUGAAGGCUUGUCUAUAGACAUUUUUUGUCCUUCUAAGAUAUGCUUAUUAAAUUGUAAAUCACUUUUCGUCCUUAGUUAUUCUAUGGUGUUUUAUCUUCAUUUCUACAUAUCUAUUACGCUCCUCUUUAUUAUGCCCCUUAUUGACCAUUAUAUGGAAUUUGUGACUGCAUUUCGUUUUAAACAUUUGCACUGAAUAAUAUGUAUUUCCCAUGUGGUGCAAAUAUCCUUCCCAAGGUGCCCUUGAAACGCUGAUAAAAUUAAUGUGAUGGAACUUCAGUCAACUGCAAAUAGUAGAGCGUCCUGGAAUGUGGUUAUUUUGACAUUGUCAAUGGCACAGUUAAGAGUUUCAAUUGGUUUGUUUUUCUUUUGGUUUGGUGUGACUAUUUGGCAACUAUUGUAUGAAAUUUUGUUUGCUAGUGCUAGUUUAGAUAUUUAAGGUGUAUGGCUAACUGUAUGAGAUUCCAUAGAUUAAAUUGUGUUUGAUGGUAGAUUCCAUUUUAGUACUCCAUUGAUCUGAUCUUUGUUGGAAUUCAAAUAAAAGGUGAAGUUAUUAUUGUAGGUUUGAGCAUAUGAGACUUUAAAAAACAACGCUGUACUAAUGAUCAGAUCUAGUGUCUUUUGUUUAUUCUGUGCCUUUCCACGUUCUACUUGUGGUUGUCUGAGUUUAUAUUUCUUGCCUUUUUUAUUUUUUGGGAUUACCUUGUAAUGUAAUCUAACAAAUUUGCUGCCUCAGAAAAUUGGUGCAAUUUUUUAUUAGCCUGGUGAUGGAAACCUCUUUUUUUUGUUAUGAUUUUUAUAGCACUUUAUAUUAUAAGACUGCAGGUACCUGAAUAGUUUUUUGUAACACAGUUUCUUAUUACUUUCAAUGAGCUUUAAAAUUUAAAUCUGGUUUUCAUUUGUGAAGUACAGAACAGUUAUGAACUGUUUGAGUACCUUUGAGCUUACUUGAUGUCUCAAUUUUCUUACUAGAUAUAUUUAUAUAAACUAAAAUCUUUAGAAUAUUUAAGAAUAUAUAUUAAUUUAUAAUUUAUAUAUUAAUUAUUUAAUUGAAAUGUAAUUUAAUGGUGUCAGGCAUUUGAUGUCAAGUUGGUUCAAAAUCCGCCAAUGUCUAUGACCAUGGUUUGUAUUAUGGCUUGUUGUGUAUAAUGGCAUAGUUUUUAAGUGGAUUUUAAAAUUUUCUUUUCCGUGGUCUGGGUUAAUUGCUAAGUGGGACUUUGGUGAACAAUGAUACAUGCAUUGGGCUUGGAGCAGUUUAUGACUGCAGCCAUUGAUGGAAAUGCAACCUAGAAAGCUAUAUAUGACCCCUGUAGAAAUCCUUGCAUUCCUGUGAUACGGGUGUUGCAAUGUUAGGAUGAAAUUUUUAUCUGCUAGUUGUAGGGGUAUGGCUGACUGCAAGAGAUUCCAUACAAGUAAAUUGUGUUUAUCUGGUAUAUUUUCAAAUUGGGUGUUCAGGACAUGGUGUUGAUUGAAAAUCUACUCAUGCUCAUGGCUACGGUCGUAUUUGUGGCGAGUAAUUUAUAGUGAAUUGGUAUUAAAAUCGAGUGAUGUACAUGCAUGCACUGAGCUCCGAGCUGUGGUUAUUGAUGGAAAUGCAGGCAGCUUAGAAAACUAUAUAUGAGCCUCCAUGAAAUCCUUUUGCUUUUCUGUUCGCAGGUGUUGGAUUUAAAAUGAAAUUUCUGUUUGGGCUAGAUUGGAUUCUUAAGGUAUGGAUUGGACUUUGUAGUAUUAAACUGUGUAUGGAAGUGGAUUUUGUGUGAUUACAAUCAUUGGAUCAGUUGCACUCCUUUGGCCUGAUGAUGGAAAACUCAUUUCUGGGAGCGGUACUAUGGAUUAUUAUAAGUAUGAGCCUUUUCUAUCAUUCUUUCCAUGCUAGUCCUCAUCAUCAUCAUCAUCAUCAUCAUCAUCACCACCACUCUCUUUCUCUCUCUCUCUCUCUCUCUCUCUCUCUCUCUCUCUCUGUGGCAUGCAUGGCCGAAGAUGUGAAGAGGCUCAUACUGAUAAUCCAGCAGCUAACCGUCGAUGACCAGAUAUAGCUAUGAGAUCUGAAGGCUUA